rnacentral:rRNA from 1 species
GACGAACGCUGGCGGCGUGCUUAACACAUGCAAGUCGAACGGGGUGUUUAUUUCGGUAAACACCAAGUGGCGAACGGGUGAGUAACGCGUAAGCGAUCUACCUUCAAGAUGGGGGACAACACUUCGAAAGGGGUGCUAAUACCGAAUGAAUGUAAGAGUAUCGCAUGAGACACUUACUAAAGGAGGCCUCUGAAAAUGCUUCCGCUUGAAGAUGAGCUUGCGUCUGAUUAGCUAGUUGGUGAGGGUAAAGGCCCACCAAGGCGACGAUCAGUAGCCGGUCUGAGAGGAUGAACGGCCACAUUGGGACUGAGACACGGCCCAGACUCCUACGGGAGCAGCAGUGGGGAAUCUUCCGGCAAUGGGCGAAAGCCUGACGGAGCAACGCCGCGUGAACGAUGAAGGUCUUAGGAUCGUAAAGUUCUGUUGUUAGGGAAGACAGUGACGGUACCUGACUAAGAAGCUCCGGCUAAAUACGUG